rnacentral:rRNA from 1 species
ACUGCUCAGUAACACGUGGACAACCUGCCCUUAGGUUGGGUAUAAACCCGGGAAACUGGGUAUAAUACCCGAUAGGUCUCGAUUGCUGGAAUGCAUCGAGAUUUAAAGCUCCGGCGCCUAAGGAUGGGUCUGCGGCCUAUCAGGUAGUAGUGGGUGUAGCGUACCUACUAGCCUAUGACGGGUACGGGUUGUGAGAGCAAGAGCCCGGAGAUGGAUUCUGAGACACGAAUCCAGGCCCUACGGGGUGCAGCAGGCGCGAAAACUUUACAAUGCUGGCAACAGCGAUAAGGGAACCUCGAGUGCCAGGUUACAAAUCUGGCUGUCGAGAUGCCUAAAAAGCAUUUCAUAGCAAGGGCCGGGCAAGACCGGUGCCAGCCGCCGCGGUAACACCGGCGGCUCGAGUGGUAACCGUUAUUAUUGGGUCUAAAGGGUCUGUAGCCGGCCGGAUAAGUCUCUUGAGAAAUCUGGCAGCUUAACUGUCAGGCUUUCAGGAGAUACUGUCUGGCUCGAGGCCGGGAGAGGUGAGAGGUACUUCAGGGGUAGGGGUGAAAUCUUGUAAUCCUUGAAGGACCACCAGUGGCGAAGGCGUCUCACCAGAACGGACCUGACGGCAAGGGACGAAAGCUAGGGGCACGAACCGGAUUAGAUACCCGGGUAGUCCUAGCCGUAAACGAUACUCGCUAGGUGUCGGCCACGGUGCGACCGUUGUCGGUGCCGUAGGGAAGCCGUGAAGCGAGCCACCUGGGAAGUACGGCCGUAAGGCUGAAACUUAAAGGAAUUGGCGGGGGAGCAC